rnacentral:rRNA from 1 species
AUACGGAGGGGGUUAGCGUUGUUCGGAAUUACUGGGCGUAAAGCGUACGUAGGCGGAUUGGUAAGUUAGAGGUGAAAUCCCAGGGCUCAACCCUGGAACUGCCUUUAAUACUGCCAGUCUUGAGUUCGAGAGAGGUGAGUGGAAUUCCGAGUGUAGAGGUGAAAUUCGUAGAUAUUCGGAGGAACACCAGUGGCGAAGGCGGCUCACUGGCUCGAUACUGACGCUGAGGUACGAAAGUGUGGGGAGCAAACAGGAUUAGAAACCCUUGUAGUCC